rnacentral:lncRNA from 1 species
CAUGUCUGCUCUUUGGAGCAGAGGAUAGUAUGGCAUUUGGUGUGGAUUCUAUCUUGGAGACUAUUAAUAGCCUGCUCUGCCAACUUUUCAAUCCCUUCAAAGACUAGACAUUGUGUCUUAGGCUGUAUCUAUUAUAUUAAUUCAGUCUUUCUCUGUUGAAAAUACUUACAGGGAUGGUAGGAAUCUAGUAGGGUUGUUAUAAUUACCCACUUUACAAAGAGACUGAAAGAAGUCUCAUAGCUUAUUACAAAAAUAGACUCAAAUAAGCUCACACAGAUAACAAUGGACAGAGCCAAGAGUUGAACUCAAGUCGGCUAUCCUCAGAUCCAAUUCUUUUCAUUCACCUGCACUGAAAUACGUCACCACUCUUCAAGUCCAUUACCUGCCCUCCAGCAUUUCACCACUGCCUCGGAGACAUCUAUACAUGGGUUUAAUGAGAUUAUCACAUUUGCUAAAGGUGAAACCCAAAAAUCAAGAAGCUGGGUUGGUGCUGUUGAUGUUGAGAGACAAUCCUGCCCUCUCUGGAGCUACUGUGGGUGAAGGAAAACCAGGCAAGCCCCUCUGCAUCUGAACCCUCAUAGGAUUCAAAUGCUCUCCUGUAGAAAGUUUAGGUUAAUUGAAGACUGGCUUGCCAGACUGGAUGCCUGCCAUGAAAACCACUUCCACCCAGGGGUGAGACCCAAAAUAUGAACACCUAGAAGGGCUAAAAGAGUAUGUGAUGGCACAAAACUUCAGUAAGAAGUAAGUUCAAGAGACCUAUUGUACAUCAGGGUGACUAUAGUUAAUAACGAUACAUUGUGUACUUGAAAAUAACAAGAGCCAGGUAUGGUGGCUCAUUCCUGUAAUCCCAGAGGCUGGGGAGGCUGAGGCAGGAGGAUUGCAAGUUCAAAGCCAGCCUCAGCAACAGUGAGGCACUAAACAAC